rnacentral:rRNA from 1 species
CCCUUAGAUGUUCUGGGCCGCACGCGCGCUACACUGACGCAUUCAACGAGUCUAAAACCUGGUCUGAUAGGGCUGGGUAAUCUUUUGAAUGUGCGUCGUGAUUGGGAUAAAUGAUUGUAAUUCUUCAUUUUCAACGAGGAAUGCCUAGUAAACGCAAGUCAUCAGCUUGCAUUGAUUACGUCCCUGCCCUUUGUACACACCGCCCGUCGCUCCUACCGAUUGAAUGAUCCGAUGAAUAUCAUGGAUUGAGGAUGCAAGUAGGUUCGCCUAUCUUCAUCUUCGAGAAGUGAAGUAAAUCUUAUCAUUUAGAGGAAGGAGAAGUCGUAACA